rnacentral:rRNA from 1 species
UACAGAGGUCCCAAGCGUUGUUCGGAUUCACUGGGCGUAAAGGGUGCGUAGGCGGUCGGGUAAGUCUGAUGUGAAAUCUCACAGCUUAACUGUGAAACUGCAUUGGAUACUAUCCGGCUUGAGGAAUGGAGGGGAGACUGGAAUACUUGGUGUAGCAGUGAAAUGCGUAGAUAUCAAGAGGAACACCAGUGGCGAAGGCGGGUCACUGGUCCGGUACUGACGCUGAGGUGCGAAAGCGUGGGGAGCAAACAGG